UAGAUAACGGCAAUCUAAAGCUACAACCGUUCGCUUUCCCUCUCCUCGUUUCCCUCCCCUUCUCCUUUCCUGUCUCUCAUCAAUCUUUACUAAUCCCCAAACUCUUGUGGAAUUAGAAUUCUAUUGAAAGUGGUAGCUUUUCUCCCUCUCGGCUCUUUCGUCUUCCUCAAAUGCUAUCUUUUUUUUUUUGCUUGGUAAAAUUCCUCAAAUACUAUCUUCUCUGGUGUCCCCUGCGCCUUUCCAAUCUCUUCUGAAACAUAUGCAGUCCAUUUCGUUUCAAGAAGUUGUUUUUGUUUCCUUUAUUUGUUCUUUUUGAAGGCUUCCGGGAGUCACGCUCACUUGCCUGCGGUUAUGGGUUCUCUGCUCAUAGAUACUGCAAAUAAAAAACGGUGUUUUUGCAACCUUAUCUCUGUGGUUGCUCUCCUCUGUAUAGUUUUCUUCGUGGGGAGUGCGUUUGUUACAAUUGAUUAUAAGGAGAAAGUAUCAACUUGGGAAGCAGCUAAUUCUGUACAGAUCAGUCAAACCAAUUCAAAGUCAAAGACUAAACUCAACAUACAGACCGCUCAAUCCAAUUUAUGCAAGAGUCAAAGCAAGCCUGCAGGAAGUGAACCAUUGCCAAAAGGCAUUAUCAGCCAAACAUCAAACUUCGAGAUGCAGCCUCUGUGGGGCUCUCCAAAAAGAAAGGGUAACACUAAAUCAUCAAAGAGCUUAUUGGCAAUUCCUGUUGGAAUAAGGCAAAAAGAAGUUGUGAAUCAAAUUGUAACGAAGUUCCCUCCCAAUUAUUUCAUGGUAAUGCUUUUCCACUAUGAUGGUGUUGUGGAUGAAUGGAGAGACCUGCAAUGGAGUGACAGUGCAUUGCAUAUAUCAGCAAUCAAUCAAACAAAAUGGUGGUUUGCUAAGCGUUUCUUACAUCCGGAUAUAGUUGCUGAGUAUAAUUACAUCUUCCUUUGGGAUGAGGAUCUUGAAGUGGAAAAUUUUCAUCCCUUGACAUAUUUAUCAAUCAUCAAAAGGGAAGGACUAGAGAUAUCACAACCAGCUCUGGACAUUUCAAAAUCUGAGGUUCAUCAUCGAAUCACUGCACGCUUGAGAAAAGGAGCUGUACACAGAAGAAUUUACAAGUUCACUGGUGGUGGGAGAUGUUACGAGAACAGUACUGCUCCUCCAUGCACAGGGUGGGUAGAAAUGAUGGCACCUGUUUUUUCAAGAGCUGCCUGGCGCUGUGCAUGGCAUAUGAUUCAAAAUGACUUGAUUCAUGCUUGGGGUCUAGACAGGAAGCUUGGUUAUUGUGCGCAGGGUGAUCGGAGCAAAAAUGUUGGAGUGGUGGACAGUGAAUAUAUAGUUCAUAAGGGAAUCCCUACGCUAGGUGGGGUUGAUGAGAAGAAGUAAGCGGAACAUGGUUGCACUUGCUUCGGUGUAUCUAUUAGUUAGCUGGAUUGAAGCUUCAUCUCCAUGUAUUGCUGCUGAAACAUACACUGCAAGGACUACUUCUGGUUCAGCUAAAUCAUAGGUGCAUCCUCGAUCACCUACUUUCAAUGACAGAUUUGCAGUAAGGAAGCGGUCUUAUGUUGAAUUGGAGAUUUUUAGAAAGAGAUGGCAAAUGGCUGUCAAAGAGGACAAGUGCUGGAUUGACCCAUAUCCAGAGCCCUCAGAGAACUCAAGUCAUUAGUACAGUUCUUCUUGUUUUUCCAUUCAGCAUCUUCUCAACAUCCUUUAUCAAGAUAAGCUCAACUCAUACACUAUUGUUCCAUCCAAGCAAGGAAACACAUGAGAUAGUCCGUGGAGACCAUCUAUGGGCUGGCAUACGGGGGAAGAUACUAUCUGAAAUUCUCAUCAGAGAAGACAUUUAGAAGUAGAGCUUAUGAGAUCUACACCCAGAAUAUAUAUUCAAAGAAUGUAAUUAUAUUAUUCAUUAUUUUUUAAUAAUAGCAAAUUUAUCAUGAAAAUUGUGCAGUGUUGCUUUAGACAUUCAAUUGUAUAUUAAAAAAAUCAUUCACUUUA